UACGGAGGGUGCGAGCGUUGUCCGGAAUCACUGGGCGUAAAGGGCGCGUAGGUGGCGCGAGUAGUCAACGGUGAAAGCCCGGGGCUCAACCCCGGGUCGGCCGUCGAUACUCUCGUGCUUGAGCACUGUAGAGGCAGGUGGAAUUCCGGGUGUAGCGGUGGAAUGCGUAGAGAUCCGGAAGAACACCGGUGGCGAAGGCGGCCUGCUGGGCAGUAGCUGACACUGAGGCGCGACAGCAUGGGGAGCAAACAGG
rnacentral:rRNA from 1 species